UUUGUUGACUCUGUGCCAGGAAAUAUGGAACAGUCCCUAUUCAAAUGAUAGCUUCCCUGUUUAUGCUGAGGACAUUGAUGGAGGUUCAUCUCCUUCGACUGCUAUGUUAUCUGAAGCUGCUAAGGCCUUGAAGGUUACCAUAGUGGGCAGUUCAAUCCCAGAAAAGAUGUGGUGAUCGAUUGUACAACGCUUGCUGUGUUUUUGGUUCCAUUGGAGUGCUGAAAGCCAAGCACCACAAGACGUUGGACGUAUUGGUAUAGGCAUCUGUUAUGAUAUUCGGUUUCAGGAAUUGGCAAUGAUUUAUGCUGCAAGGUAGGUUUCGUUUCCUCUUCGUCUAUUUUGCAUUUCCUACAAUGUUGACUGCAUACUGGUGCUGGGGCUGCCACUGGCCCAGUCUAUGCAGUUCGAAAGUAAGAAGAUUUCUGACAGUAAACAUGUAUGUCUUAAGUGGUGGACCUUUGGAUUGUUUUCCUUUGAUUUAUUUUCGUUUUAUCCCUUCCAAUGAUUUUUAAGUUGAACAUCAGCAAAGUAAGCCUUGCACAAAGGGGACUUAGCUGUAUAAAUGCUUUUACGACAUUGCGAUAUGUCCUCUAUUGCUUUUUGUAUAGAAGAUAUCUCUUUGCAA